rnacentral:tRNA from 1 species
GUCGGUGUGGUGGAACGGUAGACACGCCAGCCUUAGGAGCUGGUCCCGCAAGGGGUGGAGGUUCGAAUCCUCUCGCCGACA